AGAGAGAGACAUGCGCGCAUAUCAAUAAGCGGAGGAAAAGAAACUAACAAGGAUUCCCCUAGUAACGGCGAGUGAAGCGGGAAGAGCUCAAAUUUGAAAUCUUAAAGGGUUUCCCUCUACGAAUUGUAGUUUAAAGAAGUGUUUUCUGUUGAGGUUUUGGUAAAAGUUCUUUGGAAUAGGACAUCAUAGAGGGUGAGAAUCCCGUAUUUGACCUUUACUUUCAACUUUGUGAUACACUUUCAAAGAGUCGGAUUGUUUGGGAAUGCAGUCCAAAAUGGGUGGCUAAAUUUCAUCUAGAGCUAAAUAUUGGCGAGAGACCGAUAGCGAACAAGUACCGUGAGGGAAAGAUGAAAAGAACUUUGAAAAGAGAGUUAAACAGUACGUGAAAUUGUCAAAAGGGAAGCGUUUGACACCAGUGUUGUUUUUCUGAAAAUCAAUUAAAGAACUGUUUAUGCUAAGUUGUUUAGACUUUAUCAGCUAACUGUUUAGUUUUGAGCUUUUCUUUAAUGCACUUUUCAGUUAACAAGUCAACAUCAAUUUCUUUUGCUGUAAAAAAGCUUGAGGAAGGUGGCUUGAGAUUCGUCUUAAGUGUUUAUAGCCUCUUGCCUAUGCAGUCGGAGAGAUUGAGGUCUGCAGCGUAGAUCCUUCGGGGCUAAAUGCAUUUGUGCUAAGUUAUAGCAUUUUAUAGACAACUUGUUGACUAUGAUUUGUCUUGUAGCUUACUCGCUUAUGUUAUUUUACCUACGCUUAGGAUGUUGAGCGCAUGUCUCUCUCU
rnacentral:rRNA from 1 species